ensembl:lncRNA
AAAUAAUUUCCUCUGUCACUGCAUGCAUCACACAGGGGAAUGUCAAUAAGGAUUGGUAAAUGUCAGCUGUGCUGAGCAAUGUAAUUACAUGCUUGCAUUGAGAAGCUAACGCCUUGCUGCAGAAUGCUAGCAGGAAUCUGUGAGGAGUCAGGUCCUGUAAACCAGCCAUCAUCAGCAACAUCACGUAAUGAAGUCCUAGAACUGCAGGCUUCUCUGCUUCAGUGCUCUUGGGAGAGGUGAAUGGAAAACACUUGAAAGAAACCUGCUGCAAGCAGUGAGGGCAUUUGUCAUAUAUGGAAUGAAAAGAUAAAAUGGAAGAAAUAAUCAGUUUGGUUUUCAGACUCAUUUCCAUUGUCACUAGAUGGCACAUUGGUCUAAAGUUUCAGAGCCAUCACUGUGGUGUUGAUCACAGUUACAGCAGCUGCAUGGACAAAUUAUAAACUAUAUAUGGGAAACAGCCAGGACAUCACUAUGUAAGUGACUGCCCUCAGUAUGUGUAUGGUGGUACAGUUCUGUAGAUAACUUUGUGAGACUGUUGUUUUGUAUAUAACUGUUAUAUUGGGUAGAGAUGGCUGAUGUUUAGGUACUAACAUCCAAGAUAGUUGUGGGGAAGGAAAGGAUGAAGGUGCCUGUCUGACUGCCACAUUUACAGACUGAUCUGCUUUGUACUCGUAGCAGCUGGAUGUCAUGUCUGGCUGUACGCAUCAGUGCUUCCCAAAAACAGCUUUUAUUAUGCAGAGGCUCAUAAUUAACAGGAAGAUCUUAGGAGCUCUAACUGUAAAUGAGUAAAAUAAGUUGUAAUAAUGGGGAGACAAAUAAUAAGGAUUUCUGUAUUAGUCUGCAGAGGUGUAGGCUGCCUCCAGAAUCUCAACCGGGUUCUUUUAGAUGGUAGUUUAGAUGCUAUUCUGAAAAUGUUGAAAAGGGCAAGGCAGAAGUACACUGCAUUACAUGUAGUCUUUAUUUUAUGCCAGAAAUAAAUGU